GAUGAACGCUGGCGGCGUGCUUAACACAUGCAAGUCGAGCGAUGAAGUUCCUUCGGGAAUGGAUUAGCGGCGGACGGGUGAGUAACACGUGGGUAACCUGCCUCAUAGAGGGGAAUAGCCUUCCGAAAGGAAGAUUAAUACCGCAUAAGAUUGUAGUGCCGCAUGGCAUAGCAAUUAAAGGAGUAAUCCGCUAUGAGAUGGACCCGCGUCGCAUUAGCUAGUUGGUGAGGUAACGGCUCACCAAGGCGACGAUGCGUAGCCGACCUGAGAGGGUGAUCGGCCACAUUGGGACUGAGACACGGCCCAGACUCCUACGGGAGGCAGCAGUGGGGAAUAUUGCACAAUGGGGAAACCCUGAUGCAGCAACGCCGCGUGAGUGAUGAAGGUCUUCGGAUUGUAAAACUCUGUCUUCAGGGACGAUAAUGACGGUACCUGAGGAGGAAGCCACGGCUAACUACGUGCCAGCCGCCGCCGUAA
rnacentral:rRNA from 1 species